UCGUAAGCUCGUGCCUUAAGGUGUUGGGUUAAGUCCGACAACGAGUGCAACCCUCGUGUUUAGUAGCCACUAUGAGUUUUUAACCCUCAAAAGACCGUCAGUUUUAAGCUAGAGGAAGGAGAUGUAUAUGA
rnacentral:ncRNA from 1 species